UAUUCAAGGCAUCGAUCUCGUGGUGAUCGAUCCCGUGUGUUGCAGCGUCGUACGUUGCGCAACCCAUGUCCUUCGUGCUGUAAACGCUCAAGUUUAUUGUGACUAUAGUUCUAUUGCAACAACCAAUCAUAGUCAGCAAGGAGGGGUGUUUUUUAUUAAAGAAGUAAUAUUGUUGUGUACGGUGAUCUAACCUGCUCUUUUCAAUUUCUUUAUUUACAUAUCAGAUUGGAGGGCUUGAAUGGUCAGCGGUCCACUGUUGCAACCACCCUGACUCGGCCUUUCUCAAACUGUGUACAGCUCAGGCCACAAGUGGCAUUGUGACGCAAUGAUAUCUUAUAAAUAGUUGCAUUCCCUGUUAAUUUGAUCUGGAGGCUCAUGAAGGACGCGUCAAGAUGCAGAAGUUUGGUACUUCCUGUCAUUCUCAGUUGCAUCUUACUAGGCAGUGGGCCAGCACAGGCCGCCCAGGAGGACAGCUGCAAUGGUGCUCAAGUAAGAAGGAUCUACCUUUUGCAUCGAUAACCCUCAAUUUUAUAAUCUUGACAGAAGAGCUGGCUGGAAUGCUUGUUCAAAACUCUGCUCUGGGUUUGGUCUCAGGUAAUCAUUGAAGUCAGCACCGAUGGGAAGCCUAUCCAGCUCUUUACCGCCUUUCCAUCUAGACUGGGGACCCUGCCACCAGUGAAGCGGUCACAGCUUUUGCCUCUCAAGGCUGCAGAACCUGCGGAUGCCUGCUCGCCAUUGGACCCCUCUCGAUUCUCAGGCACGAGUGCAUCCUCUGCAAUCACACUGGCUGUGCCAAUGUGAAGAGAGA
rnacentral:lncRNA from 1 species